GAUGAACGCUGGCGGCGUGCUUAACACAUGCAAGUCGAGCGAGAAGUUUUGAAAAGUUUCUUCGGAUGAAAUUUAAAAUGGAAAGCGGCGGCCGGGUGAGUAACGCGUAGGCAACCUGCCCCAUACACAGGGAUAGCAUUUUGAAACGAAUAUUAAUUCCUUAUGAAACUUAACUAGUGCAUGCUAGGUUGGUCAAAGAUUUAUGGGUAUGGGAUGGGCCUGCGUCUGAUUAUCUAGAUGGUGAGGUAACGGCUCACCAAGGCGACGAUCAGUAGCCGACCAGGGAGGAGAAAGGGCCAACUUGUACAUGAGGCACGGGCAAAGCACCUUCGGGAAGGAGCGGGAGGGAAAAUUGCCAAAGGGGGGAAACCCAGAAGGAGCAACGGCGCGUAAAAGAUUGAGGUUUUUGGGGCACAAAGUUCUGUUUAAGUGGGUAAAAAUUGACAGUACCUUAGGAGAAAGCCCCGGCUAACUACGUG
rnacentral:rRNA from 1 species